rnacentral:tRNA from 1 species
AAUAAGAUGCCUGAUUAAAGGGCUAUUUUGAUAGAAUAGAUAAUGUAAUUAAUUACUCUUAUUA